rnacentral:lncRNA from 10 species
UGCACUCCAGCCUGGGCGACAGGGCAGGACUCCAUCUCAAAAAAACAAAACAAAAAAAACCCCAAGCCCCCCAAGCUUGUAACAUCUUAUCUACCAAAGUGCAUUUAUACAGGAAUUACCCACUGGCUGCCUCAUUUUCUCAUUCAUCAAAAGAAACAAGGAUUUAUUGAGCCCCUACUGUAUGCUUGGCACUCACGGGGACCACAGAACAGCCCUGGUACAGUGGGAGAACACAGGUUCAGAAGGAGUUUGUCACUUGGUCACACAGUGAGCAAGAAGAGGCAGAAUUCAAACCCAAACCGACCUGGUCCCAAAACUCAGAGAUAGGUUUCCUAGAGAUGACGUGACAGUAAAGAGGGCCCCAGGGGGACCCCAGUACUCCUGCAGGCAAGACUUCGGGACUGGGGUCUCCCACGGCCGGGAUGGCCUUGUCCAUGGAUCAUGUCCCCCCAGCUGCCUGUCAACGCCGAGGACUUCGGCUGGGUCCUGACCUCUUAGCACAGAUCGCCGCUUAGAGCCUGGUGGGUGUUGAAUUUUAAAGAACAUUCCAUCCCUCCUGGAUCUCUAAGGAGGGAAAUGUGGGUGGGGGUCAGGGAAGGAGAGAGGAACUGGGUGAGAAUGGAGAUGGGGUCUCAGAGGACAAAAGAGGAGCUCAGUGCUUGCAUAUCUCAACAGACCAGGGCACGCCAUAGGCUCGGUUUCCUCAUUUGUAGGACGACGACAAACAUGCCCGGGUGUUGCAAGAUUGUCUCGUGCACAGCUGCUAUCCGGCAUAGAGUUAACGUGCAAACGGAGGGUGGCUUAGCAGCUCCAGAAGUCCAGCCCUGUCUGGGGAAGGGGCAGCCAUCAGGCCCCUGAUGGGGUGCAGUAGGGUAGCCCUAGUAGGAGGCACCCAGGACUUCUGGCCCACAAUGAGAAGUUCCUGAGAACUGGAAGUCUGGUUGUCAUGAGGACAACGUUGACAGUCUCUAUGGCAACAGCUUGGUGAACAGGGCCCCGUUGUCCACAAGGAAAAGCCUAGGGGGACAGGUGUUCUGUUACCUCGGACUCCAGAGUUUGGUCACCAUGGCAACAGUGGUGGGGUCCAAACCGCCUGGGGGUGGAGCAUGGAGGGUGGUCUGGAACUGGAGUGGGCCUGGGGACAGGGACAGUUUGUUUCCAUGGUGAGAGCCGGAGAACUGGAUGUUGGGUCACCCUGGCGACAGCUUCGGGGAGGGUGAUCUCCAUGGCGGUGAGUCAGGGUAGGGACAGCCAGAAGUUGAGGUGGAGGUCUCUGGGGUGGGGGCCAAUGAGAUGAGAAAUGUGUGGUAUCCAUGGUUACAGCUGGAGGAGGGAGGCACUGUCUUCAUGGGUGUGCCUGAUGAGGGAAGGGGUGUGUGACUCUAGGUGACAGGUAGCAGCAGGACUGGUUGCCUUGGUGACAGUGGGACCCAAGGCAACUGCUC